rnacentral:tRNA from 3 species
GCCGACGUGGCUCAUUGGUAGAGCAGCGGAUUGUCUAUCCGCCUCAUGAGAGUUCGAUUCUCUUCGUCGGCGCCA